AUCAGAUACCGCCCUAGUUCUGACCGUAAACGAUGCCAACUAGCGAUCCGCCAGUCGACUCAUCGCUCUGGUGGGGAGCUUCCCGGAAACGAAAGUCUUCCGGUUCCGGGGGAAGUAUGGUUGCAAAGCUGAAACUUAAAGGAAUUGACGGAAGGGCACCACCGGGAGUGGAGCCUGCGGCUUAAUUUGACUCAACACGGGGAAACUCACCCGGCCCGGACACCGUAAGGAUUGACAGAUUGAUAGCUUUUUCAUGAUUCGGUGGAUGGUGGUGCAUGGCCGUUCUUAGUUCGUGGAGCGAUUUGUCUGGUUUAUUCCGAUAACGAGCGAGACUCUGGCCUACUAAAUAGUUGACGCAUUGCCACUGUGCGCACAACUUCUUAGAGGGAUUUUCGGUGUUUUCAACCGCACGAAAUUGAGCAAUAACAGGUCUGUGAUGCCCUUAGAUGUCCGGGGCUGCACGCGCGCUACACUGGCAAACGCAACGUGCCUGUCCUGCCCCGAAAGGAGCGGGUAAACCCCUGAAAUUUUGCCGUGAUUGGGAUCGGACAUUGCAACUAUUGUCCGUGAACGAGGAAUUCCUUGUAGGGGCGAGUCAUCAACUCGUCCCGAAUACGUCCCUGCCCUUUGUA
rnacentral:rRNA from 1 species